CAGUGGUUCCGGUAGCCACCGGACUGCUCCUGGCGACCAGAACAAUGGCAAGGCUUCCUCCUCCUUCGGCAGCAACAACAGCAGUAUUUUCUGGCUG